rnacentral:sRNA from 1 species
UUAUUUUUAUCAUAAUUUGGCUUCACAUGGAACGUUCCUGAGGAGGAAAAUGUCCUGACCAUGCCAAAGUCAAAGAGUAAAAUGAAGUACAUUCUGGUUACUGGUGGUGUUAUAUCAGGAAUUGGAAAAGGAAUCAUUGCCAGCAGUGUGGGCACAAUACUCAAGUCAUGUGGUUUACAUGUAACUUCAAUCAAAAUUGACCCCUACAUUAACAUUGAUGCAGGAACAUUCUCUCCUUAUGAGCAUGGUGAGGUUUUUGUGCUGGAUGAUGGUGGGGAAGUAGACCUUGACCUGGGUAACUAUGAGCGGUUCCUUGACAUCCGCCUCACCAAAGACAAUAAUCUGACCACUGGAAAGAUAUACCAGUAUGUCAUUAACAAGGAACGGAAGGGAGAUUACUUGGGGAAAACUGUCCAAGUUGUCCCUCAUAUCACAGAUGCAAUCCAGGAGUGGGUGAUGAAACAGGCGUUAAUACCUGUAGAUGAAGAUGGCCUGGAACCUCAAGUGUGUGUUAUUGAGCUUGGUGGAACCGUGGGGGACAUAGAAAGCAUGCCCUUUAUUGAGGCCUUCCGUCAGUUCCAAUUCAAGGUCAAAAGAGAGAACUUUUGUAACAUCCACGUCAGUCUAGUUCCCCAGCCAAGUUCAACAGGGGAACAGAAGACUAAACCCACCCAGAAUAGUGUUCGGGAACUUAGAGGACUUGGGCUUUCCCCAGAUCUGGUUGUAUGCAGGUGCUCAAAUCCACUUGACACAUCAGUGAAGGAGAAAAUAUCAAUG